GGACUACCCGGGUUUCUAAUCCCGUUUGCUCCCCUGGCUUUCGCGCCUCAGCGUCAGAAGAGGUCCAGCAUGCCGCCUUCGCCACCGGAGUUCCUAUUGAUAUCAACGCAUUUCACCGCUCCACCAAUAGUUCCGCAUGCCCCUACCUCCCUCGAGACACCCAGUAUCCACGGCAAUUCGACAGUUGAGCUGCCGGAUUUCACCACAGACUUGAAUGCCCGCCUACGCGCCCUUUAAGCCCAGUGAUUCCGAACAACGUUCGCUCGGUUCGUCUUACCGCGGCUGCUGGCAC
rnacentral:rRNA from 1 species